CCUCUCUGCUUACCUUGCUCCCACCCCCAGCUCUGGGCAGCCCUGGCCUGUCCAUCUGAUCGUGCUACCCCGUAGGCACUCCUUAAAGGCAUGGCUGCAGAGAGCCUGGGCCCAGCUCCCAGGGAGGCCUGCCUCUCACUUAGACUCCUCUGUACUGCCCCAGAAGCCUAUUCCUUCUGAAGGACGAGUCUUGAAGGAAAUGCACACCCACUGAGCUUCUGCCUGAGCCAGGGAGUCCCCUUCUGUCCUUUCUGAGACACUGAGUAGUGUUUGUUUGUUUGUUUAUUUGGACAGAGCGUGCUCUGUAGCCCAGGCUGGUGUGCAGUGGUGCCACUUCGGCUCACUGCAACCUCUGUCUCCCAGGUUCAAGAGAUUCUCCUGCCUUAGCCUCUCGAGUAGCUGGGACUACAGGUGCGUGCCACCACACCAGGCUAAUUUUUGUAUUUUUAGUAGAGACGGGGUUUCACCACGUUGGCCAGGCUGGUCUCAAACUCCUGGCCUCAAGUGAUCCACCCGCCUCGGCCUCCCAACAUGCUGGGAUUACAGGCAUAAGCCACUACGCCUGGCCUGAGCUGUCUUGACUGUCACUGCAAACUGAGGCUCAGGUGGCCAGUGACUUGCCCAAGUCCACAAGGCUGUGGGAGGGGUGAUGGGUCAGCCCCCAAGAACCUCCUACGCCACAGGGAGGAGUUGGAAUUUUAUUCCAAGUGAGGCAAAAACCAUGCAAGGUAUAGAGCAGGGGAGGCCAAGGCCAGGUGUGGGUUUAAUCGGGGUCUGUCGGUGGCAGGGCAGCUGCAGGGAGGCCGUGUUGGUGAUGCCUGGGCCAGGGCACAGUGGUAAAGUUUAACCCAGGCUCCCCUGUCUACCCCUGAAAAAGACUGGAAAAUGCUGAGUCCCAGCCAAGGGUCCAGGGUCUAGGAGCUGAGGUCAGAGAGGCCCAGGAGGUGGGGGAGGCAGGCCCAGUGAGGUGGCCCUCUCCUGGUCUUGCUGGCUUCGGUUUUCCCAGGGGAGCUCACUGCACCCUGAGCGGCAUUGUCCCCCAUUGCCCU
rnacentral:lncRNA from 10 species